UAAGGGGGGUGCGAGCGUUGUUCGGAAUCAUUGGGCGUAAAGAGCGUGUAGGCGGCUGGAUAAGUCAGAUGUGAAAGCCCUGGGCUCAACCCAGGAAGUGCAUUUGAAACUGUCCUGCUCGAGUGAGGAAGAGGGAAGUGGAAUUCCUGGUGUAGAGGUGAAAUUCGUAGAUAUCAGGAGGAACACCGGUGGCGAAGGCGACUUCCUGGUCCUAUACUGACGCUGAGACGCGAGAGCGUGGGGAGCAAACAGG
rnacentral:rRNA from 1 species